AGAUUUCUUUAGUUUUGCGAAUAUAUAUUUUUAGAAGCCAUUUUAUUAUUAUUGUUAAUUAUUAUUAUUAUUUAGUAGAAACAAAUAAUAGUUGGAUUUGAGUUUUUGGUGCACCGUCCUCUCAGGUCUUGCAUGUGAGGAGCCUUGAUCAGCGACUGGCCUGGGAAAAUUACAUGCGUGUGGCUUUUGGAUUGAUGGAUGAAUGCAGAGCCUGGAGGCAACAAUUUCAACUUACAAAGUCUGCCUGCCAUAGUAAGGGCAUCCUGCUGUGGCAGUUGCUUUGCUGCCCACACUCCUCCUCCACCUUUCCCCAUGCUGGUUGCUGCUCACUGAGAGCAAAAGCACAAGAGAUUUGAAAGGACUUUGUGUUGGGGGAAAGUAUACUCCAUUUUGUGCUGCCUCACUUGCACCCAAAAACCCUCCUGCUGUGCUCCAAGUUCAGUAGACGAUAUAGAAAUAAACCCAGGUUAGGGAGCCACGAAGACACACUGUCAAGAAAAGUCAAAAACCAUCAUGCCCGUUCUUGGAGACGUUGCAGAAAUGGAAAGUUUCAAGCUUGAACGGGAAUAAAGUUAGUGUUUCUUUGCUGACAAAAUUCCCCUCUCUGCCUCUUCUUAUAAGUGCUUGGCUGAGCUUACUGGGGAAGUUGUUGACUUGAUGCUUAAAUUUAUAGCUCUUUUUA